rnacentral:rRNA from 1 species
UACAGAGGUCUCAAGCGUUGUUCGGAUUCAUUGGGCGUAAAGGGCGCGUAGGCGGUGGGGUAAGUCUGGUGUGAAAUCUCGGAGCUCAACUUCGAAAUUGCACUGGAUACUGCUCUGCUAGAGGGCUGGAGAGGAGAUCGGAAUUCACGGUGUAGCAGUGAAAUGCGUAGAUAUCGUGAGGAAGACCAGUGGCGAAGGCGGCGCUCUGGGCCGGUACUGACGCUGAGGAGCGAAAGCGUGGGGAGCAAACAGG